rnacentral:rRNA from 1 species
UACGUAGGGUGCGAGCGUUGUCCGGAAUUAUUGGGCGUAAAGAGCUCGUAGGCGGUGUGUCGCGUCGGCCGUGAAAACCUGGGGCUUAACUCUGGGCGUGCGGUCGAUACGGGCAUCACUAGAGUUCGGCAGGGGAGACUGGAAUUCCUGGUGUAGCGGUGAAAUGCGCAGAUAUCAGGAGGAACACCGGUGGCGAAGGCGGGUCUCUGGGCCGAUACUGACGCUGAGGAGCGAAAGCUGGGGGAGCAAACGGG